AUAGCACCUAAAACAAGUAGCCAGGUUCCAGGAUUAAGUAAUCACCAUCAAGGUUUAUAACAUAAGCCAUAGGAAAAAAAAGUUGAGAUAUAAGCCUGAAGUCUAACAGGGGAAAAAAGAAACGUAGUCUCAUAAUUAUGGAAGGUAACAAGGGUUAUCUUGAACUGCUAACGGUCUUCAAAAGCUGCAAUAUUGUCAAACAAUGCCAACUGACCCACGGAAUUCAACUUCUAAAGGCACUAUAUUAAGUAAAAGUAAUAAACCUAUGAAUAUUGAGACACAUUGUUUAAGACACGGCCAGGUUCCAGGAUUAAGUAGACACCAUCACAGUUUAUAACAUAAGCCAUAGGAAAAAAAGUUAUGCCAUAAGCCCGAAGUCUAACAGGGGAAAAACAAACUUGGUCUCAUUAUUAUGGAAGGUAACAAGGGUCUCUAUCUUAACCAGCUAACAGUUUUCGAAAGCUGCAUUGUCGUCAAAUAAUGACAACUGACCCACAAAAUUUAACUUCUAAAGGCACUAUAUGAAGUAAAAGUAAUAACCCUAUGAAUCUUGAGACACAUUGUUUAAGAGAACCUAACUGUCCACACUAUCUUAACCAACUAAUUGUUGACCCAAGUGCAGAACGGAUGAUACAGCUAGUCUUCAAAAAUGUCAAUCCUUACAUGUAUUAUACUCAGGCGACGCGGAUGACAUAAAUGCUGAAGGUACACCUUUUUCAGUUACAGAUAAAGAUAGAUACAAUGAGAAUCACGGUCGAACCAAUGGACUAAUAUGAGGCAAACAAAGAAAUAAUCAGCUGUUUUCUUUUCACUUGAACAGCACAAAUUAAUAGUCAGUUGUUUCCAUACUGCCUUGUUAUUUUUAUUCUACUUUUAUAUGGCUUUUUGGUACUGUCCCUUCUUGUCUAUAUUUUAAUCAAUGUGGUGCUUAUGCUUUUCCUAAGCUGAGGGUUUAUUGGAAAUAGCCUCUCUGGUAAAGUGUGUGUACAUAACUACCUUCCCCAAACACCGCGGUGUGGGGUAAUACUGGUUGAACAGCACUUUCACAGAAAAGCAAAGUUCUCCAAUGGCAUUAAACAAACUAAUGAGAGUAGAAAAGCAUGAAUAAAAUGAAAAAUAUUACUUAGACAGAGAAAUCGAGUUAGCUCUGAGCUUUACAAGAGAGAAAUCCUUAAUAUUCUUACUAAAGGCAGCUAAUAAUCACAUCAUGGAUCAGCUUAACAGAUAUUGUAUUUGAAUAGCAUAAUCAGAAUUAACCUCCAAAUAGGGAUCAAAACAAUUUCGUUUGAAUAUGAAAGGAAUAUACAAUCUGAAUUUCCAAUGCAUCAAAUAACUUUUCA
rnacentral:lncRNA from 1 species